rnacentral:tmRNA from 1 species
GGGGCUGAUUAUGGAUUUGACAGGAUGUGUAAAGCCGGAGGAGCAUGCCGAGGGACGGCUGGCCUCGUUAAAAGCCGUGUAAAUAGUCGCAAAUGAUAAAAACUUUGCACCUGUUGCAUUAGCAGCUUAAUCGGCUUAAUAAACUGAAGGUGCCCUCUCUCUCCCUAUGCUUUGCUCUUAGAACAGGAGACAAGAGAGGUCAAAAUUAAAAGAGAUCGCAUGGAUAUCUUGCUUAGGAUUGAUAUGUUAAAUUGAAUUAAGCUAGUUUUUUAUUCGCGUGUCCGUUCGCGGUUAAUAAAUAAAUUUAAUAACUGGACUAAGCAUGUAGCGCCAAUUGCAUAGCCGUUCUGGACGCGGGUUCAACUCCCGCCAGCUCCACCA